UUUAAAUAGCUGCGUUUGUACUAAGGUAGCAUAAUAACUUGCCUUUUAAUUAAAGGAUAGAAUGAAUGGGUUAACGAAGAAAUAACUGUCUCUAUUUUACAAAUAAAACUUAAUAUAAAUGUGAAUAAGCAUUUAUAAUAUAAAAAGACAAAAAGACCCUGUCGAGCUUUAUCUAACCAAUAAUCAUUAGAUUUUGUUGGGGCAACACAAAUUAUAUAUCACAAUUUUUAUAUUUAAAAUACAAUCCAAUUCACAUUGAAAUAUAAAAGUUACCGCAGGGAUAACAGACUUAUCUUUCUAAAGAGUCCAAAUCGAUAGAAAGGUUUGGCACCUCGAUGUUGGCUUAUAAUUUCUGAUUGGGGCAA
rnacentral:rRNA from 1 species